rnacentral:rRNA from 1 species
UACGAAGGGGACUAGCGUUGUUCGGAAUCACUGGGCGUAAAGCGCACGUAGGCGGAUGUGUCAGUCAGGGGUGAAAUCCCGGGGCUCAACCUCGGAACUGCCUUUGAUACUGGCGAUCUCGAGUCCGGGAGAGGUGAGUGGAACUGCGAGUGUAGAGGUGAAAUUCGUAGAUAUUCGGAAGAACACCAGUGGCGAAGGCGGCUCACUGGCCCGAUACUGACGCUGAGGCACGAAAGCGUGGGGAGCAAACAGG